AUUAAACGCUGGCGGCAUGCCUUACACAUGCAAGUCGAACGGCAGCACGGGGCAACCUGGUGGCGAGUGGCGAACGGGUGAGUAAAGCAUCGGAACGUGCCCUGGAGUGGGGGAUAACGUAGCGAAAGUUACGCUAAUACCGCAUAUUCUGUGAGCAGGAAAGCAGGGGAUCGCAAGACCUUGCGCUCUGGGAGCGGCCGAUGUCGGAUUAGCUAGUUGGUGGGUAAAGGCCUACCAAGGCGACGAUCCGUAGCGGGUCUGAGAGGAUGAUCCGCCACACUGGGACUGAGACACGGCCCAGACUCCUACGGGAGGCAGCAGUGGGGAAUUUUGGACAAUGGGCGCAAGCCUGAUCCAGCCAUGCCGCGUGCGGGAAGAAGGCCUUCGGGUUGUAAACCGCUUUUGUCAGGGAAGAAAUACUUCUGGGUUAAUACCUCGGGAGGAUGACGGUACCUGAAGAAUAAGCACCGGCUAACUACGUGCCAGCAGCCGCGGUAAGGAGUACG
rnacentral:rRNA from 1 species